rnacentral:SRP_RNA from 1 species
UCUCCGAUCUACGCUGUGCUCGUCCGCCCAACCCCGUCAGGACCGGAAGGUAGCAGCGGUAAGCGAAGCGAGCAGGAGCCGUAAUCAAUCGGCGGCGG